GACCGGCAGCACCCCGCGGGCCCCCGCUUCCACCCCGGCCUGGAGCUCCGGCUCCCCCAGGCCGUUCCGGAGUGAGAGGCGGAGGCUGUCAUGGCGGAGGCGGGCAGAGCUGGGGCCCGCCGCCCCGUGCCCCCCCGGCCGCCGGCGGGCCGAGGCUGCGCCGUCCAGGUGUCUGUCAUCGUGCCUGUUCACAAUAGUGAAUGCUGGUUAGAUGAAUGCUUGAAGUCAGUUUGGGAACAAGAUUUUAAAGGAACUAUGGAGCUGUCUGUUUUUAAUGAUGCCAGUGAGGAUGCUUCAGCUGAAAUAAUUGAAAAAUGGAAGAUGAAGUUGGAAGAUGCUGGUGUUCCAGUAAUUGUUGGUAGCAAUGAUUCAUCUGAACCUCGAGGCGUUGGGUUUGCUAAAAAUCAAGCAGUCAUUCAGAGCUCGGGAGCCUAUCUCUGCUUUCUGGAUUCAGAUGAUGUGAUGAUGCCACAGCGUGUUAGGCUGCAGCACGAAGUUGCCAUUCAACACCCAAACAGUAUUGUUGGUUGCCAAAUCAGAAGAGAGCCACCGGAGUCUACUGAACGGUAUACUCGUUGGAUCAAUAGUCUGACUGAAGAACAACUUCUUACACAGGUGUUUACCUCCCACGGACCUACUGUGAUCAUGCCAACCUGGUUCUGUUCUCGAGAAUGGUUUUUUCAUGUGGGAAAAUUUGAUGAGGGUGGAAAGGGUGUUCCAGAAGAUCUGUUGUUUUUCUACAAACACAUCCAAAACGGUGGUGAAGUCUUUCGAGUAAACCAUUGCCUCCUGCUGUACCGUUACCAUCCACAGGCUGCCACUCACUCCGUCCUAGAGGGAACCAUUUGGAAUCACCGAGUCAGGUUUCUUGAAGACAGAGUCCUCAGCUCCUGGACAUCAUUCACCAUUUGGAAUGCUGGCAAGCAAGGCAAGAAGCUCUACCGAAGCUUGUCACCAGCUAAUCAGAAAAAGGUAACUGCGUUUUGUGAUGUGGAUGAAAAGAAAAUAACAAAAGGAUUCUACACUUACGAGGAAUCUGAGGAGAGACCAAAACCAAGAGUUCCAGUUUGUCACUUCAGGGAUGCAAUUCCUCCCUUCAUUAUCUGCGUGAAGCUGGAUUUGACAGGUGGAGCAUUUGAAGCAAACCUGAGCAUGCUGAACUUGAAGGAAGGGGUGGAUUAUUAUCACUUUAACUGAAAACCAAGGUUUUGACUUGAGCUGAAGUGAAACUCGGAUUUUUUUGUUUUACUAUGACAUAAGUAUGACAGAUUUAUCCGCAGAGAUACUGGAUGUGCAGGAAGAUUUCAUUAUCACUAAGCACUGCCAUACUUACCUCUGAAAAACAGUUCUUUUCAGAGACUAAUGCAGCCAGGCAGGUUUAAUACUAAAUGCAUGUACAGCAAGCACGGCCUGAAUAGCUCCAUUCAGAGUUGUAGAAGUAUAAAUCACUGACAUCAAGAGAAAUAACCUAGGUCAACUGUGACAGAAGUAUGGAGAGAAACCGCCAUCUUGUGGCUACAGCGUGCUGCGUGGCUUCUGCCGAGAGCCCCUUUGUCAGGAUGCGGCAGCAUGAACUCGGCCAUCUUAACGGCACCUGAACCCAGAGCUUCAGUGGACGGACCAGCAGCCAGUGCCUGCAGCUUCAUCAUGCUGAGCUCUAAAAGAGAGAAGAAACACAUGGAGUAGGCAUGUAUCAGUGUUUUAACAGUACCUCAGCCAUGUAAUUUAGUAAGCUAAACAUGGAGAAGAAAACAUAGACGUACAAAGCUGUAGCAUCUACAGUCCUUUCUAACACCGCAAUUUCUAACUAUCCUCUAGCAGAUUUUAUCUGUACAAGUUUUAAAGGCACUGUAAAUGCUGAUUUCAGCUGAAAUUAACUUUAGCCACCUGUU